rnacentral:lncRNA from 1 species
GCCCUUUAAAAUGCCAUUUUGAAUCAGCGAGCCCAUGUGCAUUCUCCGAGGCGAUGCAUCAAGUCACCGAGCCCACGUGUCUCUUCAAGAUGCCAAAUGUACUCAUUGAGACCACGUGCAUUCUCCGAGGUAAUGCAUCAAAUUACCGUGCCCACGUGUCUCUUUCAAGAUGCCACACUUAAUCACCGAGCCACAUGCAUUCUCCAAGGCGACAUACUUCGUCACCGAACCAUGUGCAUUCUCCGAGGUGAUAUAUCUAAUUAUCAAGCCCCGUGCAUUCUCCAAGGCGACGUAGUAAUCAUCGAGCCACGUGCAUUCUCCCAGAUGAUGUACUAUUCACCGAGCCAUGUGCCUUUCAUGAUGAUUCAUCCCAUUUCUAAAGUAAUUAUCCACAACCUUAAUUCGUACUCAAUUUACCAAAAUAAUCAAUUUAGGAACAUAUCCUAAAAAUCCACAAUUAAAUCAAUUCAGUACAAAUUAAAGCUCAAAUAAAUAAAUGAACUGCGCCACGACAAUCGGCACGAGAUUUCGGUCGUCGGCCAUCUCAAACUUAAUUUCCGAAAAAUAAUAAAUUAAUUAAUUAAUUUCGAAAAUUAAUUAAUAAAUAUUAAAAAUCCAUUUAGCUCAAAUAAGGCCCAAUUAAAUAAACGGACUUCACCACGAUCAUCAGCAUAAUAUUUCGGUCACGGGCCAUCUCAGUUGAAUUUCCGGAAAAUAAUUAAUUAAUUAAUUAAUUUCGAGAAUUAAAAAUUAAUUAUAAUAAAUCCAAUUUAGCUCAAAUUGGUGCUAAGUUAAAUAAGCGGACUUCACCACAGUCAUUAGCAUAAAAUUCCGGUUCCGGACCAUCUUAGUUGAAUUUUCGGAAAAUAAUUAAUUAUUUAAUUUAAUUCCGAAAAUUAAUAUUUAAAUACUAAAAAUUCCACUUAGGCCUGAAAAGCCUAAUUGAAGCCCACUAAAGGUCGGGUUGGGAAAAAUCCCGAGGCACUUCCAAUAAUUAGUAGACCACGUCUACUUGUUAAUUGCGCAAUCAAUUUAUCUAAAUCGCAUCACAAUUGACUAAUAAUUGCUAAUGUAUUCUAAUCUAACAACCUAAACAUAAUUAAUUAAAACUAAACCAACCUUAAGCAUAAUUAACCAACUAAUCCUGGAUUAGUGAGAUUACUCACCAAAUCGCGCGCAAAUCGGAUCAAUCCGACGGGGGCGACGCGCGGAACAAAUCUUCCCAUAGCACGGCUCGGGUUCGGGGCCCGGAAACGGCCCAAAAGCGGGCCCGAACCAGCUGGAAACCCAUUUCGUAGGUUGCUGGACGAGGCUGGCUGGGGCUGCUCCGGUGGCCAAAACGGUGAGGGGAGGCCGGCGGAGGACGAGGGGGAUGUCGGGGAAGUCCGGCGGGGUUGAACGGCGGCCAGAAGUGGUCGGACAGGGCGGAACGGUGGCUGGGUCUCGCGGCUGGGAGAACGCCAAGGUGCGAGAGGCGACGGCUGGCGGAGCUCGCGGCGAGCGGUGGACGCACGGCGCGGGCAGUCCGGCUCCGUUGCGGCGGCGACGGGCAGCUGGCUGCUGUCUUCGUGCGCUUGCAGGUUCUGGUUCAAGCUUCUGCUUUCUCUUCGCUUGUUCGGACGCACGGGGAGGAAGAAGAAAAAGAAGAGAGAGAGAGAGAGAGAGAGAGAGAGAGAGAGAGAGAGAGAGAGAGGGUAGGUAUUGACCGGUGAAAGAGGGAAAAGAGAGAGAGAAGGUAGGCGGUGGGGGAAUCGCACGAGGGGAAAAAGGAGAGGGGAGAGAAGAGAGAGAAAAAGAAAGAAAAUAAGAGAGAGGGAGAGGGAAAAAAAUAAAGUAAAACUAAUACAAUUAUUCUUACUUUAUUUUCUUUUCUCUUUCCCUUUUUAAUUUCUUUCAGUCUUCAAUUUUUCUUCCGAUAAUUUCUUUAUUGAAAUUUCGGACUCGUCAACAAUUUGACGGACGAUGAGACAGGAUCCUAAAAAUAAGAAUUAUGACACGCUUAAAAUUCAAUUCCUGAAAUCGAGUUCAAUUUCGUGGUUAAAAAUCGAUCAGACGUGAUUUUAGUCCAAUCCAACUAAUUAGAUAGCUUUUAGGGAUUUUACUGCAGAUACAUCCCUUAACGGCUUCACCCAAUAGAUUAGUUAACUCGUGAGUGAUCAGCUCAGAGAAAAAGAACCGCAAACACGUUGACGAAAUGCCCAUUUCACUUUAUCAAAACGGGGUCGAAUUUUAGGAUGUCACAACUCUUCCCCUCUUAUAAAAAUUUCGUCUUCGAAAUUUAAGCCAUUACACACUUUGAUAAAAAAGGCGGGGGUACAACUGUCUCAUCGAUUCUUCUGUCUCCCAAGUCGCUCCUUCAGUACCAUGGUGUUGCCAGACCACUUUGACCAACGAAAUGGUCUUUGUGCGCAGAACUUGCUCUUUAUGAUGGACAAUUUGGACCGGACUUUCAACGUAUGACACACGGUCAUCCACGUCCAAUUCCUCGAAAUUGAGCACGUGGGUCGGGUCAGGCUCGUACUUCCUUAACAUCGACACAUGAAAGACGUCAUGCACUUGCGCCAAUCUUGGCGGCAACGCAAGAUGAUACGCUAAGGUCCCAAUUCUCUCAAGAAUCUCGAACGGACGUACGUACCUCGGACUCAGCUUGCCUUUUCUUACCAAAGCGCGAAGUUCCCCUCAUUGGUGACACUUUCAAAAAAAUGUGAUCACCAACUUGGAAUUCCAAAGACCUUUGACGCUUAUCUACAUAACUUUUCUGCCUGCUCUGCGCUGUCUUUAAUCUGUCUCUGAUCACUGCCACGGCAUCUACUGAUUGUUGAACCAACUCUGGGCCUGAUAUCUUCCUUUCUCCAUCUUCAUCCCAACAUACUGGAGUUCUGCACGCUCUGCCAUACAACGCUUCAAAUGGAGCCAUCUUGAUGCUUUGCUGAUAACUGUUGUUGUAAGCGAAUUCUACUAGAUGAAGCUAAUCCUCCCAACUUCCUUUGAAGUCUAUUAUGCACGCUCUCAGCAUGACUUCAAGAGUCUGAAUUGCCCUUUCAGACUGGCCAUUCAUCUGAGGAUGAUAUGCCUGUACCGAAACUUUGUACCUAAAGCACUCUGCAAGCUCUUCCAAAAAGCAGCAGUAAAUCUCGGGUCUCUAUCGGAUGUUAUCGUAACCGGCACUCCAUGCAUACGAACCACUUAACGGUCAUACAGUUCUGCAUGCCUAUCAAGACUGAGGUCCUUUCGAACUGCAAUGAAGUGAGCCGACUUUGUCAGCUUGUCGACUACUAACCAAAUUGAAUCAUUCCCCCUCUGACUCCUUGGUAGUCCAGUCACGAAGUCCAUCGUGAUAUGCUCCCAUUUCCACUUUGGGAUCGCGAGAGGUUGCAAAAGUCCUCCCGGCUUGCAAUGCUGGGCUUUUACUUGCUGACAAGUCAAACACUUGGCCACAUGCUUGGCGAUGUCCGCCUUCAUACCUGACCACCAGUAGUGUCGACGCAGAUUCUGAUACAUUUUAGUGCUUCCAGGAUAAAUGCUGUAGCUACUACGAUGUGCUUCAGAUAAAAUUUCUUCUCUAAGCUCUACAUCGUCAUGUACAACCAAACGUCCAUGGAACCUCAAUAUCCCAUCAUCAGAAACUUGAAAAUCAGCCUUUCUUUUAUCGGUAUCCUCUUGAAGAAUUCUCUAGACAUCUGGAUCUAUCGGUUGGAGUUGCUUGAUUCUGACCUAGACAUCCAGCUCAAUUCUGAGGGUGGCCAUAAAAUUUGAAAGGUGGCCUACCUCAAAUUUGAAUUCCGAAUCCCGAGCUCUCUCGAUUAAGUUCCACUCCUUAACCAAGAUUUGCGCUAUUGAAGACUUCCGACUCAAUACAUCUGUGACCUUGUUCGCCUUUCCCGGGUGAUAUAGAAUAUCACAGUCGUAGUCUUUCAACAAUUCCAUCAAUUGGCGUUGUCUCAUGUUCAACUCCUUUUGAGAGAACAAAUACUUGAGACUCUGAUGGUCUGUGAAGAUCUGAAAUUUUUCUCCGCACAAGUAGUGCCUCCAAAUCUUCAACGCAAAUAUGAUGGCUAUGAGUUCUAAGUCAUACGUCGGAUAAUUCAAUUCAUGAGGUUUCAACUGCCGAGAAGCGUAUGCAACAACUCUGCCAUGUUGCAUCAGCACGCAACCCAAUUCCUUGAAUAACGCAUCACUAUAGAUCUCGAAUCCUCCAAGACCAGAUGGAAUCGUCAGCACAGGUGCGGUAGUUAGCUUUUCCUUCAACUCUUGGAAACUAUGCUCGCACUUGUCUAACCAUACAAAAUUUUCUUCUUUCUUCAGGGGCUUUGUCAGAGGUGACGCUAUCGAUGAGAACCCUUCCACAAACCGUCUGUAAUAACCUGCUAACCCCAGAAAACUUCUGAUCUCUGUCACUGUCGUCGGUCUUGGCCACUUGAUCACGGCUUCUAUCUUGCUCAAAUCAAUGGAGAUUCCUUCCCCGGAAAUCAUAUGACCUAAGAAUGCAACACGAGCCAAUCAAAACUCGCAUUUGCUAAACUUAGCAUACAGAUGAUGAGUUCUUAAGGUCUGGAGUACUACUCUUAGAUGAUUCUCAUGCUCUUCAUCACUUCUCGAAUAGACCAGUAUGUCAUCAAUGAACACGAUCACAAACUAAUGAUCCACAUAUUCCUUGAACGUUCUGUUUGUCAAAUCCAUGACAGCAACUGGAGUGUUCACCAAGCCAAACGAUCUUACAAUACUCUCGUAAAGACCAUAUCAAGUACGAACAGCUGUCUUUCGUACAACCUUCUUCCUGGUUCGUAACUGAUGACUUCAUAAUCUCAAGUCGACCUUUAAAACAUCGAUACUCUUUAUAACUAGUCACACCAUUCAUGGAUCUUUGGCAAAGAACACUUGUCCUUGAUCUUCACCUAAUUGAGUUGACGAUGAUCGAUGCACACUCACAACAAACCAUCUUUCUUCUUCUCACAAACAAAACUGAUGUUUCCCAAAAGUGAUGCACCGAUAUACACGAAUUCCUCAUUCAUCAAUCUUCACAUUUGCAUCUUCAAUUCUACCAAUUCAGACAACAAUAGCUGGUAAGAAGCCUUCAAGAGUAGCUCUAUCCUGGUGCUAGCUCAAUUGCACUUUCUAUUUCUUUUUCUGACGGUGGUCUGACAGUUCUUAUGACAACACAUCUAGAAGUUCUUAGACCACUGAGAUGUCCUCCAUCUCUAGUUCUUCAAUUUGUCCUACCCAAGACAAUCGCCAAGCAACCUUGGCAACCUCCGUCUAACAAACAAGUUACCUCCAGCCAAUGAGAUUAAUGAAAUUGAAGAUUCUUUUCGACUCCCAAUAACCUCGACACUUUCACAUGUUAAUAGACUAAACUUGAUUACUCAAUGACCAUGAUUCAUUAUCACAAGAUGCUCCAUAAGCCCACACUAUUCAUGUGGCAUUAAAUUCACACUUCAGCAACUAAUCAAGCACAACUGUUGCUAAUGAUUUCCCCUCUGUCACUUUUACUUCAACGAUUUAAGUUCUACCAACUCAGCACAAACUCUGCUACGUUAUUCUGAUAAGAUCACCUCCAACACAUUCUUUCUCUGAUCGGUGCAAGAUCAAUUCUACUCUCAUUCCUUUCACCAUCCUAGUGGCGUUCUGGCCGUAGUAGCGAUGUCUAUGCUACCUUAGACUUCCACUGACAGUCCUUCGCCUGAUGGCCACGCUGGUCAUCAUCACAACAGGUUCUAGUCAUAUUCGGACACUGGAUUCAUCCAUGCUUCCUUCUACAAUUCUGACACUUAUCAGGUGAGUCUUCUAUCUCUUGUCAAGUGACAGCACAUACUCUUUCUGGUUGCCCCAUCAGUCUGCUAGGACCACUCUCGACCUCGAUCUUUUCCCUGACCGAUUUCCAUUUCUGCCUUAACUGGAUCUAUACCUCGGCUCGAAUGCAAUGACUCACUCCUGGAUCACAUCUCCACUCUGGAUCUCAGCAGGUGAGGCGACAACAGCAGUUGCAACAUUGACGGCGGUUCGAUCCUGAGCCUCCUGGCUCAUCCAAUUCCCAAUGAACACUAGCAUUAAAACGAUCCUAUUGAACUUAGGAUCAUUCGACGCUACUACACUAGUACCAACCACGGUGGUACUCUUACACUCGAGCUGGCCAGAGCCAACACUCUGCCACAACCACCUUGGGUGCCGACCUUUUUCGGUGCUUCAUCCCGAGUCAUAGAGGACAUUGUCCUCUCACUAGGAGUUCUCAUCUCCUGCUCGCUCAUGGUUCAUUCUUUACACUACAACUCGUCUUCCAAAUCCACACUGGAUUAGAAGAUGAACGAUCCACGCACAACAAACAUUUUUAGCAUUCAGCUAACACAGACAUGCACCGGCAUGAAUUUAAAGGCCUUUCCUACUAACUAUCCCAUGGUCAACGCUCUUUAUCACUCCAAUCUUCAACUUCGCUCUGAUACCACUUAAACUGGAUGUCACGCCCCGAUCCUCGGGCAUGCACACAUCCUUCUCCCUUGGUAGAUUUUAUAAUGCGAUAUCCCAGGACAAUGUAUCGCCGACCCUUUCAUUUAUUAAGCACAUGCGGAAGCAGUUAAAAUCCCCAGACAAUAAAACGAUGGGAUAGAAAAGCAUGGCCAUAUUUUUCAUAUUGAAAUUUAUAACCAAACAUUUAUACAAAACACAAACCAGAGCACUCUACAUGUGACAUCCAGAUUUCGGGUUUUAAUUUCGACUGGAUAAAUAGGGCCGUUUUCGUUCAGUUGAAGCCAGAGAUUGUGAAAUUGGGAUGCAAGUACGCCACAGUGGUAAUGAAAAAUACCAAUUUGAUUGAUGAGGUGUUGAAUGAAUUAAUGGGGGUCAAUUUGAUUUAAUUCAAGUGGGAUUAAGAUUCAAUUGGAAGAGAAUUAAGUAGAAUUGAAGAAAUUGUUGCACAAAGUUUUAUGCCCCGGCGGAAAAUGAAAUUGGACCCAUUGAAGUAGGUUGUAGAGGAAAUGAGUUUGUGGAAGAUGACAUGGGAUGAUGUCAUGUUGGUUGAGCCAAGGAGAAUGAGAUUUGGACAAGUGGAGGGUGGAUAUUGGCUCUUGGAAAGGCACCCAUCAACAUCAUCUUCAAGCUUGGGACUUGGGAGGAGAGGGAAAGGGAGAGCUUCGACCGGAAGCUAGCCGAUCGACGCUGCCCCUUUGCACGCUCGUUUGGCCGUCCGCCUCCGCCAUUCAUCGCCGUCGCAGCCGCUUGUCUGUUCGUCGCCGCCGAGCCAGCCCGCCCAUCACCGUUUGCCGUGCCGUCCGCGUGCCUCGCUCGCUCGCCCAACUGGCCGAAGACCAGCGAAGGUUGCAGCACCGUUGGAGAAGUUGCUCGCCACCCACGCUCUGCUUGCCGUCGCCGGAGUCGCCAUCCUCGCCUCGCAUUGCCCGUCGCCGCUCGCCGUCUCACGCUCCGCCGCCGCCCGCGCUCCCCCGCGGUUGGCAGACAUCCCGAGCUACUGUCCAGCUCGUGCAGGAAUCGCCGGAGCUCCCUCUACUGACUCCAGCCACCGUGAGACCUCGCCGUUGGCCGCACGGCACCACCGCAGCUCCUCCGCCGUUCCUCUGCCCAACCAGCGCCAGAUCCGCCGUUCUCGGCCCCAAAUCAGUGGUUGGAAAAAUGGGUAUGGUAGCCCAUGUUUGGCUCAUUUUGGCCGCCUUCCCGAGCCCGGAUGCUCGGCCCGCUUUGAGGAAAGUUGUUCUCCUUGGCGUCCCCAUCGUUUUGGUCCGCUCGGCUUGCUAAUCCGGUGAGUUUAACUCACUAAACUUUGAUUAGAGGGUUAAUGAUGCUUUAUGGGUGCUUAGUUUAUGUUAAGUGUUAUUAGGUGGUUAGUUUAAUUUAUUUAAGUGUAGAUUAUAUUAAGGUGUUUGAUUAACUUAAAUUGUGAUUAAUUUAAGGUUAAGUGAGUGGUUACAUUAAUAUAAACUGUGAUGUGACAUAAAGGAAUUUACUUUUGAUUUAUUUAAAUAUUUCAAAAUUUUUUAAUAAUUUAAUAAUAUUAUAUUAUUAAAAUAUUAUUAUUUAAUUAUUUUCGGAAUAAAUUUAAUUAAUUAUUAAAUUCCGAAAAUUUUGUUAGGACCCUAAAUUCUCAGAAUUUCGUGUCGGUCGCUGCUGUGUAGUCAGAUUUUGAAAUUGAUGAUUGGAUAUUAUAAAUUGAGUGUGGAUUGUGAAAAGUAUGGAUUUUAUUUAGAAAAUUCCAAGUGUCGAGUUUGGCAUUGAAAUUGGAUUGUAAUGGUUAAUAUCGUAAUUGGAUCAUGUGAGUGAAAUGUAAAGUAUCCAGGGAUCGGUAUCAAAUUGUCGUGUGCUAGUUGAAAGGCUCGAGUCGCAGUAGUGGCUAGGCCGACUGGAUCCUUAUUCUGCUAGAAAUGCCAUCAAGAGAGUGAUGUGGCUCGGGUCGCAGUAGUGGCAGGACCGACUAGACCUUUAUUCUUCUAGAAAUGCCGUCGAUAGAAUGACGUGACUUGGUCGCAGUAGUGGCGGGACCGACUGGACCUUUAUUCUUCUAGAAAUGCCGUCGAUAGAAUGACGUGGCUCGGGUCGCAGUAGUGGUGGGACCGACUGGACCUUUAUUCUUCUAGAAAUGCCGUCGAUAGAAUGACGUGGCUUGGUCGCAGUAGUGGCGGGACCGACUGGACCUUUAUUCUUCUAGAAAUGCCGUCGAUAGAAUGACGUGGCUUGGUCGCAGUAGUGGCGGGACCGACUGGACCUUUAUUGUUCUAGAAAUGCCGUCGAUAGAAUGACGUGGCUUGGUCGCAGUAGUGGCGGGACCGACUGGACCUUUAUUCUUCUAGAAAUGCCGUCGAUAGAAUGACAUGGCUUGGUCGCAGUAGUGGCGGGACCGACUGGACCUUUAUUCUUCUAGAAAUGCCGUAAUGUUAGUAGAUAGCCGACCCACGAGUAGGCUAUGCCAUUGUGUGGCAGUGAAUAAUAAUUGGAAUGCGUGCUAAGUGCGAUUGUGAUUUAUAUGAAAGUGAUGGCGUUCCAAUUGUUUGAAUUAUUAUUACUUGUGCUAACCUGCAGGAAGGAAUUGAGGCGAGGUAAGUUCUCUGUGUGAUGUGGCUAGGCCACCCUUGGGCGUAUUUUCUUUCUAAUAGGGGUUUAGGGGGUUGAACUUGCUGAGACAUUAUCUCAUCCCGGUUGUGGGAUUAAAAUUUCAGGUCCCUGGUAGAUGGAGCGGCCAGAUAGCUUUGGUUGGCCUUGAGAAGUUGCAGUGGUGAAGUCACAAGGAUUGGAGAACGUGUCCGACUUGUAGGUCGUAGGACAGUUCCUUUUUAAGAGCCGGUCUUUCGUAGACUCUUAGCCGUAGACCUCUCUUUGUAAUUCUGUUGAAUUGUGAAAGUGUCAUGUUGUGGUUCUGUUUCCUGCUUGUCUAUCCCGUAUUUCAUUGUCAGGGGUUAUAUAAUACGUUCCGCUUAUGUAAUAAGAAUGAAUGGGGUCGGCGACACUACUUGGGAAUGUCGCAUUUGCAUGACCAUGGUGGGAUGUUGGCACGCUCGAGGUUCGGGGCGUGACACUACAACUUCUUACUCUAAACUUUAAUCACAUCAAAAAGGAGAUCUCAAAAUAAGAUAAACUCUCAGCCAUCCGAGCCGUACUCAAGGCCCUUCUCGGGAUUAUCUUCUUCUCCCAAAAAUCUUUCUCCUUAAGUUUCACCUCCGAGUUCUCCUUCUCAGACUCUUCCUCAUCACCUCCUCAUUGGGGUCCUGAAAUGUUUUCCCCAAACUGGGAUGAGACUACGUCACAGCGAGUUCUACCCCACUAAGCCCGAUUAGUAAACUAUUAUACUAUAGGCUGCCUAAACACACACAGGGUAGAGGACUUACCUUGGCCUCAGAUUCCACCAGCAUAUUAGCACAGUUCAAUAGGCACCCAAGUAAUCACAUCACAGAUCGAUAUCUCGAUCAAUCGACCUAAUCGAUCACACGCCAACAAGACCACUCAUGGUCAUUUCCAUUCAAUCAACAUUUCACAACAUCGGAUCAAAUCAUGAUCAAUCGACCUCGUCGAUUACAUGACAGCCUGACCAUUUCCCGGUCAUUCAAGCUAUUGCUAUUCAAUCUCAACUAAUAAAACCAAUCACCGAGCCAAGUGCAUUCUCCGAGGCAAUAUUCUUUAUCACUGAGCCACGUGCAUUCUCCGAGGUGAUGGAACCGAUCAUCGAGCCAAGUGCAUUCUUCGAGGUAAUGCAUUAAUUUACCGAGCCCACGUGCUCUUUAAAAUGCCAUUUUGAAUCAGCGAGCCCACGUGCAUUCUCCGAGGCGUUGCAUCAAGUCACCGAGCCCACGUGUCUCUUCAAGAUGCCAAAUAUACUCAUUGAGACCACGUGCAUUCUCCGAGGUAAUGCAUCAAAUUACUGAGCCCACGUGUCUCUUUCAAGAUGCCACACUUAAUCACCAAGCCACAUGCAUUCU